rnacentral:rRNA from 1 species
UGCGGUUAUACAAGAAUCACUAUUAUUUUUUUUUGGUUAUAAUAUUUAGUCAGUAAGGUUUUAUUUUUAUGUUGAUAUAAUAUUGGGUGAAAUCCUAUUUUUUAUUUAAUUUAAUUUUUGUUUAUGAAACUAAGAAAUCUAGGUUUUAAACUGGGAUUAGAUACCCCAUUAUUCUAGGCAUAGAGAAUUUUUACCUGAUUAAUAUUAGUUAUGUUCUUUAAAAUCAAUAAAUUUGGCGGUAUUUUAUUCCGAUCAGGGGAAUCUGUCCUGUAAUCGAUAAUCCACGAUUAUUAAAACUUAUUUUUGUUUGUAUAUCGUCGUUGUUAAUUAUUUUCAGAAUUAUAUAAUUUUGUUAUUUUAUUUUAUUUAAAAUCAGAUCAAGGUGCAGCUUUAUGUAAGUAGAGAUGGAUUACAAUAAAUUUAUUUUAGGAUUAACUUUUUAAUUAGGGUUGUGAAUUUGGAUUUGAAUGUAAUUUUGAUUAUUAAUCGAAGUGAAUUAGGCUCUAAAGUGUGU